rnacentral:tRNA from 1 species
GAGGGUAUAGCUCAGUGGUACAGCAUGUGCUUAACAUGCAUGAGGUCCUGGGUUCAAUCCCCAGUCCCUCCA